rnacentral:tRNA from 1 species
UGGUAAGGGUAAGUCAUCGGUUCAAAUCCGAUAAAGGGCU